rnacentral:rRNA from 1 species
GACGAACGCUGGCGGCGUGCUUAACACAUGCAAGUCGAACGGAAAGGCCCUGCUUUUGUGGGGUGCUCGAGUGGCGAACGGGUGAGUAACACGUGAGUAACCUGCCCUUGACUUUGGGAUAACUUCAGGAAACUGGGGCUAAUACCGGAUAGGAGCUCCUGCUGCAUGGUGGGGGUUGGAAAGUUUCGGCGGUUGGGGAUGGACUCGCGGCUUAUCAGCUUGUUGGUGGGGUAGUGGCUUACCAAGGCUUUGACGGGUAGCCGGCCUGAGAGGGUGACCGGCCACAAUGGGACUGAGAUACGGACCAGACUGGUACGGGAGGCAGUAGGGGGGAGUAUUGCAGAACGAGCGGAAGCCUGAGGCAGAGACCUCGGGUGCGGGAUGACGGCUUUCGGGUUGUAAACCGCUUUGGCCUGAGACGAGGCGUGAGUGACGGUAAUGGGUAAAGAAGCAACGGCUAACUACGUG